UGGAAUCUGGAACGAUCCUGGCUGAGCGGCGAUUCAUGGUCCAGUGAUCGCGGCCGCUGAGCGACUCCGGUCACAGCCAAGGGGAAGAAAAGGGCCCGAGUAUGGAGUCACCCCAACAAACGGAGCAGUUCACGGGCACGGUUGAGAGUGGGCUUGAGCCCUGACCCUGCGCCAUGGCCCAUCCGCAAGUUCCCUCCAGAGCGGGACGGGUAUUGGGACCUCCCCGCACACGCGAACAUGGAGAUCAAGGGAGGACACAGACCCCCUGCAGGAAGAAUGGGGGCGAACAGAGUGGGCAAAGAUUUGACAGGCGGUGAUAUACCAGCACCAUGCAUCUCUCUGGGAGGGACCAUGUGUUGGAGACUGGAGGUCUUGAUCCUCCACACAUUCCCUCCCAAGGGCCAGUCACACCCUGAUCAGCUGAUUUCAAAAUAAACCUCCCUCCCCUCCCUCCCUCCCUCCUCUUCCUUCCUUCCUCUUGGUCUGUAGCUGACCCUUUCCACUCUCUCUCAGUGCCCCGCAAUGAAUCUACACAUCUCCUAUUUUCUUAGAGUGAAAUACAUUGGUCCUUUAAGGUCCAACUAUCUCCAACUUCAGGCUCUAGCCUGAGGCCUCCCCCCCCCCCCCCCCC